rnacentral:rRNA from 1 species
UACGUAGGGGGCAAGCGUUGUCCGGAAUCAUUGGGCGUAAAGCGCGUGUAGGCGGCUCGAUAAGUCUGCUGUGAAAGUCCAGGGCUCAACCCUGGAAUGCCGGUGGAAACUGUCGAGCUAGAGUCCGGAAGAGGCGAGUGGAAUUCCUGGUGUAGCGGUGAAGUGCGCAGAUAUCAGGAGGAACACCAAUGGCGAAGGCAGCUCGCUGGGACGGUACUGACGCUGAGACGCGAAAGCGUGGGGAGCAAACAGG